rnacentral:rRNA from 1 species
UACGAAGGGGGCGAGCGUUGUUCGGAAUUACUGGGCGUAAAGGGCGCGCAGGCGGCUCUGUAAGUCAGAUGUGAAAGCCCCGGGCUUAACCUGGGAAUUGCAUUUGAUACUCUGGAGCUUGAGUACGGGAGAGGAGAGUGGAAUUCCCGGUGUAGAGGUGAAAUUCGUAGAUAUUGGGAAGAACACCGGUGGCGAAGGCGGCUCACUGGCUCGUAACUGACACUCAUGCACGACAGCGUGGGGAGCAAACAGG